ensembl:lncRNA
GAGAGCGGAGCUAUGAAAGAACCAAAGAACAGAAGUCGAUUCAGGCCUUAAGUCGGUUGCAGGCUCAGUGUCGUGGUUAUGUGAUGAGGAAAAGACUAAGUUUGGUUCGGACUCAGUUUGAGGAGACAGUGCGAGAGAUUGAUGGAGGACUGGAUCACCUGCAGUGGAGAGGAAACAUCAUUCCCAAACCUCACUUCACUGACACUGAAAGCCUUUUGUUGCAGUAUGACCCAUCCAGGUUUCAGUCCCAUGACCGUCUGGAUGAUUCAGAGAGGGAACAGAAAACACAGAAUGAGGGCAGUGAGAAAUCUCUCCCACAGUCUGAAAUCCAGGUACUGGAGAGAGACGAAGCUGCUGAAACAGCCAGAAGAGAUUCUUCCACGCCUGUGGAUGAUAUUGUGGACAAGAGAGGAGAGAAUGUGGUCAUAAAAAACCUGAUGGAUGGUUCUACUAAACUUUGCAGUACCGUGAAUUCAGAUGUCAGCCUCAGCAGCUUAUUUCAGACAGGAACAAAUUUGCAUUCAGUUUUUAAAACCACAGCACACACUCUUGACUCUCUGAAGCAGCAGCGGAGCGCUUUAGCCAUGGAGGUGCUGUGGAUCCAGCAAGCCAUCAGUAGCAGAAAGAAAGUGAGAAAAGUUUAGGAUUUUUUUAACAUUAAUGUUUAUUUGUAGUUAUGUGUCUGUGUGUUUUAGUCUAUAAAAUUAUUCUGGUCUGCUUCUUUUGUAGUAUCUUACCCUCAAACUGAGAAUGGAUGUGCCACACUGAUACUGGACCAGUUCUAAAGUGGACCAACAUUUUAAAAGAUGUUUUCUCAUAAUUUCUGUAUUAAUGUAACAUGUACAGCACAGAAUGUUUGAGAAUUGUCGUAAAUUAUAUUUAUUUAUGAGCUUCUUUUGUCUAUAAAUGGGUUUGUGUUAAAGAAGAUUUUUAUUUUUGUACAAAUGGCAUUUCAGAAAUAAAUAUAAUAUGCACGUGAUGGACUUUUUCUGU